AUACGGAGGGGGUUAGCGUUGUUCGGAAUUACUGGGCGUAAAGCGCACGUAGGCGGACUGGAAAGUUGGGGGUGAAAUCCCGGGGCUCAACCCCGGAACUGCCUCCAAAACUUCCAAUCUAGAGAUCGAGAGAGGUGAGUGGAAUUCCAAGUGUAGAGGUGAAAUUCGUAGAUAUUUGGAGGAACACCAGUGGCGAAGGCGGCUCACUGGCUCGAUACUGACGCUGAGGUGCGAAAGCGUGGGGAGCAAACAAGAUUAGAGACCCCAGUAGUCC
rnacentral:rRNA from 1 species